rnacentral:lncRNA from 1 species
GGAAACAGGGAAGGGAUUUGGGAUCUGGGAUCUGGGAUUUGGGAUUUGGGAUCAGGGAAGGGAUUUGGGAUUUGGGAUUUGGGAUCAGGGAAAGGAUUUGGGAUCCAGGGAAGGGAUUUGGGAUCUGGGAUUUGGGAUUUGGGAUUUGGGAUCAGGGAUUUGGGAUCAGGGAAGGGAUUUGGGAAAAGGAAUCAGGAAUGGGAAACAGGGAAGGGAUUUGGGAUCUGGGAAGGGAUUUGGGAUCCAGGGAAGGGAUUUGGGAUUUGGGAAGGGAUUUGGGAUUUGGGAUCAGGGAUCAAGGAAGGGAUUUGGGAUCCAAGGAAGGGAUUUGGGAUCUGGGAUUUGGGAUCAGGGAAGGGAUUUGGGAUUGGGGAUUUGGGAUCAGGGAAGGGAUUUGGGAAAAGGAAUCAGGAAUGGGAAACAGGGAAGGGAUUUGGGAUUCAGGGAAGGGAUUUGGGAUUUGGGAUCAGGGAUGGGAUUUGGGACCAGGGAUGGGAUUUGGGAUCAGGGAAGGAAUUUGGGAUCAGGGAAGGAAUUUGGGAUUUGGGAAGGGAUUUGGGAUCCAAGGAAGGGAUUUGGGAUCCAAGGAAGGGAUUUGGGAUCUGGGAAGGGAUUUGGGAUCAGGGAUUUGGGAUUUGGGAUCUGGGAUGGGAUUUGGGAUCGGGGAUGGGAUUUGGGAUCAGGGAUGGGAUUUGGGAUUCAGGGAUGGGAUUUGGGAUCUGGGAUCAGGGAAGGGAUUUGGGAUCAGGGAUUUGGGAUUUGGGAUUUGGGAUCUGGGAUCAGGGAAGGGAUCUGGGAUUUGGGAUCUGGGGUCUGGGAUUUGGGAUCAGGGCUGCGAUUCCUCCCCUCAGCUUUUCCCCGGAAUUCCAUCCUGGAUCCUCCCCUCCCCUCCUGACAUUUUGGAACAUUUUGGGGAUAUUCAGGGAAUAUUCUGGGGACAUUCUGGGAAUAUUUUGGGGAAUAUUUUGGGAAUAUUUUGGGAACAUUUUAGGGACAUUUUGGGGACAUUUUGGGGAUAUUCAGGGAACAUUUUGGGGACAUUUUGGGAAUACUUUGGGAAUAUUCAGGGAAUAUUUUGGGGACAUUUUAGGGACAUUCAAGGAAUAUUCUGGGGACAUUCUGGGAACAUUUUGGGGGAUAUUUUGGGGACAUUCAGGAAAUAUUUUGGGGAAUAUUUUGGGGAAAUUCUGGGAAUAUUUUGGGGACAUUUAGGGCAUAUUUUGGGAACAUUUUGGGGAUAUUCAGGAACAUUUUGGGAACAUUCUGGGGACAUUUUGGGAAUAUUUUGGGCACAAUAUUUUGGGGAAUAUUUUGGGACUAUUUUGGGAAAUAUUUUGGGAAUAUUUUGGGAAUAUUUUAGGGACAUUUUGGGGAUAUUUUGGGGACAUUCUGGGAAUAUUUUGGGGACAUUCUGGGAACAUUUUGAGGACAUUUUGGGAACAUUCAGGGAAUAUUUUGGGGACAUUUAGGGCACAUUUUGGGAACAUUCUGGGCACAUUUUGGGGAAUAUUCUGGGAAUAUUUUGGGCACAUUUUGGGGACAUUCAGGGAAUAUUUUGGGAAUAUUCUGGGGACAUUUUGGGAAUAUUUUGGGGAUAUUCAGGGAACAUUUUGGGGAAUAUUUUGGGGAUAUUUUGGGGAAUAUUUUGGGGACAUUUUGGGGACAUUCAGGGAAUUUUUUGGGGAUAUUCUGGGGACAUUCUGGGGACAUUUUGGGCACAUUCAGGGCACAUUUUGGGGACAUUCAGGGCACAUUUUGGGCACAUUNNNNNNNNNNNNNNNNNNNNNNNN